UGUAUUGCCGCAAUAGUGCUCGAUUGUUCAGUGUCAUUUUUUCUAUGUGUAAAAUUUUGACAUUGUUGGUCUCACUUUGUUUCUUGUUUGAUUGUCAAUUUGAAUUCUGGGGUUUGUGUUCAUUUUUUUUAAUUAGAUGAUUUUGAUUGUGGAACUUUAUUGAUUUAUAUGUAUGGUGGUUGAGUAUACCCUUUUUUAGAUUCUGAAUUUAGCUUUGAUUGUUCAAUCUGUGAGAUAUAGGGGUGUGAUCCGACUUAAAAUUCUUAGUUCCUUUCUUUGAAAGUAUAGGGGUGUGAUUCUGAAAGUAUGAUUCUGAAAGUGAGAUAUAGGGGUGUGAUUCUGAAAGUAUAAAACUUGGUUUGAUUUGAGUGUGGUUUUUGGAUGAACCGUUGUUGGGCAUGGCAUUUUUUCUCUUCCUCUUCGAUUUCAUUUGGUUAUGCCUCUAAACUUCUAUCUCUUUCUUUUCUACGUUCUUCUAUUUUUUAUAUUUUUCCUUUUCUAGGUGGCUAUUUGUCACUAAAGAUGACAUUAAAGGCUUACCUUGCUUCCAGAUGAUCACUUUGAACUCCAGCAACUAGCUAAAGAACUUUAGCUGCAUCACAAACUUUUUCUUCGAUGCUGGACUAUGUGGGUGUGCACGAGGCCAUUCGUGGGUUCAAUUGGAGUCAAGAGACUCGAGAUCUUGUAGCCUCUUUCUUUGAAAGCAGCUGAACGGAGCUAAUGAUUAGGUUCCCAUAUGGAGUUACCACUGCAGGUUCUCCAACGUGUGAAGCCACUCAACCAAAUUCCAUUGGUUGGCCCUCUGUUUAUAC